CAAAAAAAAGUUUAACAACUCCUAUUCUUUUUGAAAGGUCGUUUUCUUCAAAACCCCAUAUCGAUAUCCUUUUUCUUUUACUCUAUACUUCGAAAUGGAAUAUCUUUCUUUAGAAAGUUUCUAAAGAAAACUCCUAAUCGUCCGCAUCUUAUUAGCCAUUCCAUUGGUCUAGAAAAGGUUGCUUUUGAAAAAGGCACCUAAYAGAUNNAAUGG
rnacentral:misc_RNA from 1 species